AACGAACGCUGGCGGCAGGCUUAACACAUGCAAGUCGAGCGCCCCGCAAGGGGAGCGGCAGACGGGUGAGUAACGCGUGGGAAUCUACCCAUCUCUACGGAACAACUGAGGGAAACUUCAGCUAAUACCGUAUACGCCCUACGGGGGAAAGAUUUAUCGGAAUUGGAUGAGCCCGCGUUGGAUUAGCUAGUUGGUGGGGUAAUGGCCUACCAAGGCGACGAUCCAUAGCUGGUCUGAGAGGAUGAUCAGCCACACUGGGACUGAGACACGGCCCAGACUCCUACGGGAGGCAGCGGUGGGAAAUAUUGGACAAUGGGCGCAAGCCUGAUCCAGCCAUGCCGGGUGAGUGAUAAAGGCCUUAGGGUUGUAAAGCUCUUUCAGGGGGGACGAUAAUGACGGUACCCACAGAAGAAGCCCCGGCUAACUUCGUGCCAGCCGCCGCGGUAAUAC
rnacentral:rRNA from 1 species